UACGUAGGGUGCGAGCGUUGUCCGGAAUUAUUGGGCGUAAAGGGCUCGUAGGCGGUUUGUCGCGUCGGGAGUGAAAACCUCGGGCUUAACUCGGAAAGGUCAACUGAUACUGUGCGACUAGAGUGCAGAAGGGGCAACUGGAAUUCUCGGUGUAGCGGUGAAAUGCGUAGAUAUCGAGAGGAACACCUGCGGCGAAGGCGGGUUGCUGGGCUGACACUGACGCUGAUGCGCGAAAGCCAGGGGAGCGAACGGG
rnacentral:rRNA from 1 species